GGUGGGGAUUUGUCACGAGUGUGCCUUAAGUUUUAUGACUACUGAGCCACAUGUAUUUGUAGUCAUGUUUGAAAGGUUAGGUAGGGUUUGGGGGGGUAAUAAGGUGGGAGUCAGGGACAGUGCAUCUAGAUGCUUACAAUGUGUGCUGCUGGCUCUUCCUGAGCACACUUCUGCCUUAAAGGCAGUUGGGUCUAUGUAAAGUGUGCAUGCCAGAGCUUUGGCAGGCGGGGCAGAGGGCUUAUGGGUGGUUGUGGUCCUUGGUGCUUUUGUACUUUUAGGACUGUAAGUAGCUGUGUUCAUUUUGUAGGAGCCUUAGUGUGAUUUCAGGGACCUGCUGAAAGGAGUCAGGAAGGAGUGCCCUGUAGCCUUGGUGUAGCCAGGAUGGGUGACUGAGCAGAGGUGGUGGGGUUUCUGAGAUGAUGAGCCAUGAGGUUUGGGGAUGGAUUCUUAUCUGGAUGUUAGUGGAUCAAGAAAGGCCUCUCCUCAGCCAUUGGGGCACAGAUGAGAGGGGGGUUGGACUUAGAGUCCUCUCUCAAGGCCUUGUGUUCUUUUGAGUCAAGAGACGUGUAUCCAGAGGUGACCUUUAAGGCCUCUUUCUUGUAAGCUAGGAGUAUCACCAGCCUCAUAAUAUUUCUCCAUCUUUCCCUUCUCUGUUCUCACUGCUGUAUUUGAGAGCCCAGACAGUGUAGGUUGCCACUGCAGCCUCCCUUACCUCUCCUGGCUGCCCUGCCCCCUUCCACUCACCUUGCCUGCUGAUCCUGUUGGAAUCUCCAGUCCUGCAUCGUGGUUCCCAGUUUAACAUGCCUUGUACACAGAGGCUCACGAGGGAAGGGUGGUGUAACAAACUGGAAUAAGUUGGUUAAGUGGCUACAGAAUGAACAGGCUCAGAACAUUGAGUUUAGGCAGGCUUGGGUGAAUGUUGGGCUGGACAGCCUUGACAGCACAAGAGAGGCACUGUCCCCUUUUGAGGGGUGGAGAAUCAGAGUUGAUGAUCCAGGAGGAAGGGAGCGGUCUUGUCUGUGCAUACACUAGGUUUAUUUACUGUAGUCUGGCAGAGAGCAGGUGCCAAGCAGAAGUACAACUGGGGCAGAGUGUUGGGACCCUAUUCUGUGCAAGAAUGAGUGUGGAAGGCACAGUUGUCCCUGCAGCCUCCUUAGAGGGGUUCUCAGUUUAGUGAAUGCAGCACUGGUGAGGACUGCUCCUCAUCCAGACCAGAGUAUGUGGAGGGCAGAGUUCUAGGACUCUGGAUUGUGGCUGAGAAGCAGGCAGAGCAUGACCUGGCCAGGCAUCAGGGACUAGCCAGCUUCCAGGGCAGUGCCAGUCUGAGAACUGUGGGUGCUUGGGGAGGGGCCGGUCAAGAGGAGUCUGUAGGUUCCAGUGACAGGGUUAGUGCUGUCUCGGUGAUUCCACAGAGCAGGGACCCCAUGUCUAGGUGUGGAAGAGCUUAAGACAUUGGCUACCUUGAGCUGCCAGUGAGCAUAUGGUGUCCCUGUCUGCUUUGCUUACUAUCUGCAUUCCCUCACUAUUUCUUCUGGUCCCUGUGCCUCUGGAUUGGAUCACGGGAGUAAGAUGAGGACCCUGGUGGUUCCUGAUAGGGCUUUUAUUUUCUCUUGGCUUCCUGUAUCUUAGUUCAUUUGGAAAUGUUCCAUUGAGUCUUCAGGGCUCUUGCCGUCAAGGCAAGGGAAAAAGUCUAUAUAGCUAUAUAGCUGUUCAGAAUUUUGGCCUAGUGCUCAACCCCUGGGAGUACUGCUCGGACUUGGUGGCAGGUGUGGACUCAGCUGGGAGUCGUCUUCAGAAUAUUCCUUUCUCUCUCUGAAGGAUCAUCUUUCUCCUCCUAGCUGGCUUCUGUAGACCUCAGCCCAUACCUUGCAGCCCACUUCCUGGUCAUCUUGGAGGCCUUCUGCUUCCAGAAUACUUGGGCCUUCCCAUCUCAGUGGGGAUUCCUGUAGCUCCAGCUCUGAAGGGGAUUAGGCAGUGCUGCUUUAUGAAGGGGCUGACUUUGGCCUCACAGAUUGGGUUUGAGUACGGUCAGUUGCCUUCUUGCUAGUAGUUUGGCCUCAGGUAAAACAUUUAAUCUCUCUGCCCCUUAAUCUGUUCAUCUGUGACUAGGGAUGACCUCCACAGCCUGACAGGGUUGUUCAUAGUCCUUGACACACCGAGGGAAGCCAUCGGUGCUAUACUGACUGUUCAUUAUCCUGGACUAUAUUUGAAGCUAAAUGACAGUGAGGUCCACCAAAGGCUGAAGACUUUUCACUAGACAGCCCAGAACCGGGGCCACGGGAGUCUUUAGGGCGAGCUUGUGGUGCCUGGUCUCUUGCCUGCUGGAGAGAAGCUUCCUACCCUUUCUCAUUAGCAGAGGUGAAACUAGAGAUCUGAGUCAAGGAAGCAAGUAUGCCUCAGAGCAAAACAGGCCCUACUUCCCGGCAUGUUCCUGAAGGUCACACUGCUGUGGGCCACACCUCAGUGUCAUGGAGCCCUAAGAGCCUAUAAAGGCUCUGCAGAGGCUGAGGGCCCAGCUUUGCAUUACUGGGGCCUGAGGAGGCUUCUCCUGAAACCUGGUCCCUGAAUUAUGCUUCUGAAGUGUUGAAGUGGACAGUCCCGCGGUGCUUACAUGGGAGCAGCAGAUGAGCUCAGAAGAGGGGCCGUGGAAGCUCUGAUCCCUUCUGGGAGAGAAUGUAAUAGUGUGUGCUGGGAGUUGUAAAUCAUGCACUUGCGAGGCUGAGUCAGGAUUAAUAGGGUUUGGUUAUUUUGGGAUAUACAGUGAGUGAGACCCUAUCACCAACAACCAACCAAACCAAACCAAACCAAACUAAAUGAAAAGUGAUCAUCUGGUUCCUGUCAUUCCUUUGUAAGCCACCCAGAGGCACCUGUGGAGAGACUACCUAGUCAUAUGGCAGAAAGCAUAUUUAUUCCUGCAUUCUCUGAGGCUGUGUGGUAGGUGAUAGGAGCUUCGGUGGGUCCAGCCAGUUCUUUAGAGUGUCUCUGGCACACGAACAACAGUGUGGGGCAGCUCUGGCCUUGUCUCCUUGUUCAAUUAAGUGGGGAAAGCUGACAGUUUUGUAAUAAAUUACAAGAGCAAAUGGAGAUCUUAGCAGGUUGUGGGGAGGGCGCUGGGAGAGUGCUUGAAAUGAAAUGUCGUCUACUCGGAGCUAAGACUUAGAACAUGCUUUCCAAAGCUGCUGUUCUUCAAAGAGGUGCAGAGGAAACAGUGAGAGGAAGGAAAGCGAGGCACAAGGUUGAGUCUCAACAGCCUUGUCACUUGCUCUGAGGAGUCCUGGCCACCUGACUUACCUACUGAACUUGAAAGGAGCAUGACUAUAACAGGGGCAAAGGCAGGGUAUUUCUCGAGGGUCUUGUGCACAGCUGACCCUUCCGCUUUUGUAGAGCAGCUUCAUAGAGAGAAUUGCAGACUUCUCCGUUAACAGCAAGUUACUAGCUCAUUUAUUAAUUGCAUAAUGCAUCUAGAGCUGCCAGCAUAGUGCUCAGCAGAGUCCCUCGUGCGUGACCAGCAGGGUGACAGUAGCAAAAG